ACAGGGCAAAGCAAGGCAGAAACCCGGGGAGAGCAAGGGAAAGGUGGGAGGAAAAGGACACGCAGGCAGGAAGGUGCCCUAAGGCACCAUAACGAGCUCUGGGAGCGUUGCGCUACGCCACACUGUGACAUGGGGAAAGAUUGGCAUGAGUACGUGGUCCUUACCUGCCAGGGUAGUCACCAAAGCUGGGUUGCGGGGCAUUCCUGGACAUGCAGCUUUUCUUUGCUGAGCGGCAUCCGGUCAAGGAUCGCCAGCAUCGGAGGUGAUGAAAAAACAUGGUACCAAUUGGACAGAUGUGUGCAGCAAAGCCAAGGAUAGCUUGGAACAAUUAAUCAGAGCAACGCAAAACAGCCGAGCAGCUCUUAGAAGGAACAUCGCAGUAACAGCCUCCAUACCCGACCUCACCACCCUGAGAUGCCGCCCAGCUCACCCAAGGCUCA
ensembl:lncRNA